CAAUGCACCUUACGUCAGGAUAAAAAUAAUGAGUUCUUUUCAUGCUUUUCAAUGUAGAAUGGCAAAACAUUUGAUAACGAAGAGUUUACUAAGACGAAUUGAUCACAUCACUGUUAAUUAUUUGUUUAAAAGUACCAUGAAAGAUGUUUAAAAAGAAAAGGCAGAGAUAUUUUUGAGGAUAAACCCAAAAGUUAUGUGACUGCACUUCUAACAAACCACCUUCUUAGUAGGUUAGUUCUAGGAAAAGAACACACUACUAGUCGAGAUUUGCCUGACAAGCCUUUGUUUUGUCCAUGCUUCAAUGCUGUCAAAUGUCAGAAACCAAUAGAAUAUGGACAUACCGGUUUAGGAUAUGAAAAAAUUUGCUACGGAAGACCUGAUGUUCUUUUAUCAGCUGAUAAUGAAUUACAGCAAAACUGUGUGAUGGUACUAGAAGAUGGAAAACAAAUUAUCAAAGCAGAGAUUUUGAAAAAGAACAAUGCUCAGAAAUCGAUGAAAAGACUGAAGAGGAGGAAGUUGCCAUGACAAGUCAGGCUAUAGCUCAGUGUAUUACAUUUGCAUAUUCCCGUUCAAAUAUGAAGAAACGUUAUCCAAAUAUAGCCUUGACGAGUACAUUGAUACCUACUUUAGUGUUGACACCAAAUGAUUAUUUUGUUUACAUGUAUGACUAUGAACACGAUGUUCUUUUAAAAAGUGGUCCAUCUAAU